rnacentral:rRNA from 1 species
GGUUAACGGAGCGAAAGCGAUGUUCAACCGCAAAAGAAGCAGAGGGGGCUUAGUGGUGGGGUGACUGCGUACCUUUUGUAUAAUGGGUCAGCGACUUAUAUUCUGUAGCAAGGUUAACCGAAUAGGGGAGCCGGAGGGAAACCGAGUCUUAAUUGGGCGUUAAGUUGCAGGGUAUAGACCCGAAACCCGGUGAUCUAGCCAUGGGCAGGUUGAAGGUUGGGUAACACUAACUGGAGGACCGAACCGACUAAUGUUGAAAAAUUAGCGGAUGACCUGUGGCUGGGGGUGAAAGGCCAAUCAAACCGGGAGAUAGCUGGUUCUCCCCGAAAGCUAUUUAGGUAGCGCCUCGUGAAUUCAUCUCCGGGGGUAGAGCACUGUUUCGGCUAGGGGGCCAUCCCGGCUUACCAACCCGAUGCAAACUGCGAAUACCGGAGAAUGUUAUCACGGGAGACACACGGCGGGUGCUAACGUCCGUCGUGAAGAGGGAAACAACCCAGACCGCCAGCUAAGGUCCCAAAGUCAUGGUUAAGUGGGAAACGAUGUGGGAAGGCCCAGACAGCCAGGAUGUUGGCUUAGAAGCAGCCAUCAUUUAAAGAAAGCGUAAUAGCUCACUGGUCGAGUCGGCCUGCGCGGAAGAUGUAACGGGGCUAAACCAU